rnacentral:rRNA from 1 species
CCUACGGGUGGCAGCAGUGAGGAAUAUUGGUCAAUGGACGCAAGUCUGAACCAGCCAUGCCGCGUGCAGGAAGACUGCCCUAUGAGUUGUAAACUGCUUUUAUACGGGGAUAAAUCCAGAUACGUGUAUCGUGUUGAAUGUACCGUAUGAAUAAGGAUCGGCUAACUCCGUGCCAGCAGCCGCGGUAAUACGGAGGAUUCAAGCGUUAUCCGGAUUUAUUGGGUUUAAAGGGUGCGUAGGCGGGUCGUUAAGUUAGAGGUGAAAUCCCGCGGCUCAACCGCAGCAGUGCAUCUGAUACUGGCGGGCUAGAGUUUAGUUGCGGUAGGCGGAAUUUAUGGUGUAGCGGUGAAAUGCAUAGAGAUCAUGAAGAACACCGAUUGCGAAGGCAGCUUACCAAACUACGACUGACGUUGAGGCACGAAAGCGUGGGGAGCAAACAGGAUUAGAUACCCGUGUAGUC